UGCUCCACUGAUCGAAAACUUCAUCAUGCCGCCUGUGCAGCCCUCUAACAUGCUCGCUUACCCGAACAUGAACAUUUUAAUUACCUAAUUGUUCUCUUUCAUUCUCCCAGCAAACUAAAAGGUUACCAACUUUAAAGCUAUGUGAACUCUUGGCAGUUAGUUCUCAAAAAAUACAAAUAAAGACUGUGGCAAGCAGAACAGGUAUUUAAGCCCAUUUUAUAGACAAAAUAACUCAAAAUAAGAAUAAAUGACUCGUCCUAAGUCACAAAGUUGGUAAGAUGCAAAUGAAAACAACAGAAAAGUUUCUUUCCUCUACACAGCAUGAAGAAUCCCAAGAAUCUGAAGACUGAAAGAUGAGAUACUUCAUCUUUUCUAGGGCUCUCUCACUCAGAAACUCAUACCUUUAUCCAUCCAAGACUGAGCUCAUAUUGACCUGUCAGGUCAUGUUCUAGGUGAUGUCACAGAACAAAUGGAGGAACAAAAGACAAAAAUCUCACAGAGCAUCCAAAGCGCUUUAUUUUGCAAUUUCUUCCUGAUGCCUGAACGUCAACCUCCUUGCAGUGAAGGUCUGUUACUCUCCUCAACAACAGAAAGAAUGAUCAUAGACUUGAAUUCUCUUCAUCUCUGGGCUGAGAUCACACUGUGGGAAAGCGUUCUAGAAAGUGCAAAGUCGGCCAGAGAAGGCAGUAGAGAGCAGAGACUCACGGCCAGACUGCUUUGGAUAUCGACAAGCCAUGUGGCCUCGGUCAAGUCCCCUCGCUGGAACCUUGGUCCGCCUCUAGAAGGAAGCCGCCUCUCAACUGUUCAAAUUCAAUCACUAAUUUACUACAGUGGCCAGGACAAGGGAAUGCAGAGAUACGAGGAGAGCAAGAGAGGCAGGAAAGACCUGCAGAUAUAGAAUACGACAGUCACAACUGCUGCACGGUGCAUAAAAAGAGAAUGUCCAUUCCAAUAAAGGAAGAUGAGAGAGACAGGCGAGUCUGUAUCUUACUUUCCUGUAAUGAUGCUUCAUGGCUGAAAGUAUCUGGUUCUCUGCUAACAUAUCAACGUCAGAGGAUUUCUCUAUAGCAGAGAAGCAAAUAAAUGAAAACUGGAUUGACAGAUGCCAAAAAUUAUCUUCAAGAAUUAUUCAGAGAUGAAGCCUGAUAAAGCACUGUACGAAAAGUUAAAUAGAAAUAAACUUUCAGGAAGAAGAACAUGAAUUAUUUGUUUGCAUUUCUUAAUACCAGCAAUACAAGUGCUAUUCAGACCAUUGCUAUUUGAAAGCCUAGGUCAACAAUGACGCAGCUUAAAAAAUUCCAUAUUGUUUUUAAAAGAGGUAUACGGUUUUAGCUAUGCAGAUAAUAUAAACUGGAUAACCCCAUCCCCCUAAAUUAUAAAGUAAUUUCCAUGUGAAUGCUUGAAAUACAGAUAGUGUUUGUUUUAUAUCUGAAAAAGUAUACAACAAGGGUAAUUCAGUUCAUAUUACUGCAUCUCCCAGAGAAAGAGCCCCCUAUCCAGGACUUGAUGACAGGAAGUCAGGGGUUGGCAGGUGAGGGAGAAAUCAAAGAGCAGCAGCAACAGGAGCUUAGUCCUAAGCCCCAGCUCUAACUUGGUAAUUGACCCAGAACAACAAGCACCUACAAUCAGACCUGGACAGCACACUAGACUUCAGAGUAGGAAGAUGAAGCCCAGAGAGGCAAAGCAAUUUGUUCAAAGUUCCAACUAAUUAGAACAAGGGCUAGAUCAGAAGGCAGGUCCCUGCCCUUAUAUAAGUCUAGCACUUUGCUGUGGCAGGAAGCCUGUCACAAUGCCCUAUGCCAGCCUUCCAUUUCUCCAUCUGUAAAUGAGGAGGCUGGACUAGGCACUGAUUUUCACACUGAGUUCCAAUGAUCCAAGGCAUCAAAGGAGGUACUUCUGCUAGUCACCUUCUCUCUUCACGCAAAGAAUCUCAAUUUAACCUAUUUCAUAUAUUAAGAAAAAGAAAUUUUACCAAAUGGACUACAUGGAUAGUGCUGUGAUGAAUAAUAAGAAUUUUUUUUUUUAAAGUAAAAAACAGGCCAGGCACAGUGGUUCACGCCUGUAAGCUUAGUACUUUGGGAGGCCGAGGCG